rnacentral:rRNA from 1 species
GAUGGCUUGGUGCCGAAAGGGAAUCGGAACACAGGUGCUGCAUGGCUGUCGUCAGCUCGUGUCGUGAGAUGUUGGGUUAAGUCCCGCAACGAGCGCAACCCUUAUCAUUAGUUGCUACGCAAGGGCACUCUAAUGAGACUGCCGGUGACAAACCCGGAGGAAGGUGGGGAUGACGUCAAGUCCUCAUGGCCCUUAUGGGUAGGGCUUCACACGUCAUACAAUGGUCGGUACAGAGGGUUGCCAAGCCGCGAGGCGGAGCCAAUCCCACAAAGCCGAUCGUAGUCCGGAUUGUUCUCUGCAACUCGAGAGCAUGAAGUCGGAAUCGCUAGUAAUCGCAGGUCAGCAUACUGCGGUGAAUACGUUCCCGGGUCUU